rnacentral:rRNA from 1 species
CCUACGGUGGGCUGCAGUGGGGAAUUUUGGACACUGGGCGCAAGCCUGAUCCAGCUAUUCCGCGUGUGGGAUGACGGCCUUCGGGUUGUAAACCACUUUUGUAGAGAACGAAAAGUCUGUUGAUCAUACCGAUAGAUGCUGACUGUAUUCUAAGAAUAAGCACCGGCUAACUACGUGCAGGCAGCCUUGGUAAUACGGAGGGUGCGUGCGGUAAUCGGAAUUACUGGGCGUAAAUGUUGUGCAGGUGGUUUUGCAAGAUGGAUGUGAAAGCCCCGGGCUUAACCUGGGAAAGCCAUACAUGACUGCAAGACUAGAGUGCGUCAGAGGUGAGUGGAAUUCCAAGUGUAGCAGUGAAAUGCGUAGAUAUUUGGAAGAACACCGAUGGCGAAGGCAGCCCCCUGGGACGCAACUGACGCUCAGACACGAAAGCGUGGGGAGCAAACAGGAUUAGAUACCCGAGUAGUC